GACUAUCAGAUCAAAUCGGAUUCGAAGUGAUAGGAUCGAGGUUUCUUUAUCGAUUUCAUAAAAUCAAGUGGAGAGAGAAAAUCAGAGGAGAGAGAAUUCAUGAGGUACAAUUCGAAUUGAUCAGGUGACACAAUCCAACAUUACGAUUGAUCCAAUAUCUCGAGUGGUAAAAUCAACAUGAUCAAAUCAAGUCAUGACU
rnacentral:lncRNA from 1 species